rnacentral:rRNA from 1 species
AAUGAACGUUGGCGGCAUGGAUUAGGCAUGCAAGUCGAGCGAGAAGUGUAGCAAUACACGGACAGCGGCGAAAGGGAGAGGAAUACGUAGAAAUCUACCCCUGAGACCGGGAUAGCGUCGGGAAACUGGCAGUAAUACCGGAUAAUGUCUUAGGACCAAAGGUGUGAUUCCACUUGGGGAUGGGUCUACGCCCUAUUAGCUAGUUGGUGGGGUAAUGGCCUACCAAGGCGAUGAUGGGUAGCGGGUGUGAGAGCAUGAUCCGCCUCACUGGGACUGAGAACUGCCCAGACACCUACGGGUGGCUGCAGUCGAGAAUCUUUGUCAAUGGACGAAAGUCUGAACAAGCGACGCCGCGUGCGGGAUGAAGGCCUUCGGGUUGUAAACCGCUGUCGUAGGGGAACAAAUGUACGGGGGUACUCCCCUGUAUUUGAGUGAUCCUAGGAGGAAGGAGAGGCUAAGCUCGUGCCAGCCGCCGCCGUAAGAC